CUGGGACAGGUGAUCCUGGGACAGGUGAUCGUGGGACAGGUGAUUCUGGGACAGGUGAUCCUGGGACAGGUGAUCUGGGACAGGUGAUCCUGGGACAGGUGAUCCUGGGACAGGUGAUCUGGGACAGGUGAUUUGGGACAGGUGAUCCUGGGACAGGUGAUCUGGGACAGGUGAUGUGGGACAGGUGAUCGUGGGACAGGUGAUUCUGGGACAGGUGAUUUGGGACAGGUGAUCCUGGGAUACGUAAUCCUGGGACAGGUGAUGCUGGGACAGGUGAUCCUGGGACAGGUGAUGUGGGACAGGUGAUCGUGGGACAUGUAACCCUGGGACAGGUGAUCUGGGACAGGUGAUCUGGGACAGGUGAUUUGGGACAGGUGAUGUGGGACAGGUGAUCCUGGGACAGGUGAUGUGGGACAGGUGAAUCUGGGACAGGUGAUUUUGGGACAGGUGAUGCUGGGACAGGUGUUUUGGGACAGGUGAUCUGGGACAGGUGAUCUGGGACAGGUGAUUUGGGACAGGUGAUCUGGGACAGGUGAUUUGUGACAGGUGAUGUGGGACAGGUGAUUUCGGACAGGUGAUGUGGGACAGGUGA